CUGAUUUUAUUCUCAGCAUGUUUAUUGUGGUCGAAUUUCCAUGGUGUUCAGUGCAAAGGCCUUACUAAGGAUGCUAGCAUUAUUUGCUUUAACAUCAAGCUAGCGACAAGGCUAUGUAAGGUUCUGUAAAAAGCCAAGAGGCCAGUGUGAACCCAGCCUGUGGAGGCUUGUAAUCAGCAUUUGACAUGCCAAUAUUAGAAAACCUUGGCAAGACCAUGAGGUUCACAUGCAAGGGAAGAAAGCGAGUUCAUGAGGCCAAGAAACUCUAGUAUGCAUCCCACCGAAACACAACCUCCUAUCAUUGCCUUGUCAUCAAGUCUUUGAGGGAUUGUGGAUCAGGGAUGGAAGGAGCGAAGGAGUGAC
rnacentral:lncRNA from 1 species